rnacentral:rRNA from 1 species
GUGAAGCGGCAACAGCUCAAAUUUGAAAUCCGGCCUCCCCGGGGCCCGAGUUGUAAUUUGUAGAGGGUGCUUCGGGCGCGAUGCCGGUCUAAGUUCCUUGGAACAGGACGUCGUAGAGGGUGAGAAUCCCGUAUGCGACCGGCGAUCAAGCCUGUGCGAAGCCCCUUCGACGAGUCGAGUUGUUUGGGAAUGCAGCUCAAAAUGGGUGGUAAAUUUCAUCUAAAGCUAAAUACCGGCCAGAGACCGAUAGCGGACAAGUAGAGUGAUCGAAAGAUGAAAAGCACUUUGGAAAGAGAGUCAAACAGUACGUGAAAUUGUUGAAAGGGAAGCGCUUGCAAUCAGACCGGUCCGGAGGCGAUCAGCCGCUGCUCGUCAGCGGUGCACUCGCCUGCGAUCCGGCCAGCAUCGGUUCGGGCGGCGGGACAAAUGUCCCGGGAAUGUAGCUUCUCUCGGGGAGUCUUAUAGCCCGGGUCGCAAUGCCGCCCGCCCGGACCGAGGACCGCGCUCGGCUN